rnacentral:misc_RNA from 1 species
UGAAGACACAGCUCAUACAGGGG